GUGAGGGUACUCUGCCGGUUUUGCUGCGGAAGUCACCUCGUGGCGUAGGGGAGAGGUAACACCGAGAAGAGGCAGCGGCGGUGGCGCCAAGACGAUUGGUGCCAAACAGGGCAGAACGCAACUCAGCUCUGGGUUUGUGAAUAGCACAAUGGAAGAAGCUGGACUUUGUGGGUUAAGAGAGAAAGCAGAUAUGUUGUGUAACUCUGAAUCACAUGAUAUUCUUCAACAUCAAGACUCAAAUUGCAGUGCCACAAGUAAUAAACAUUUAUUGGAAGAUGAAGAAGGCCGUGACUUUAUAACAAAGAACAGGAGUUGGGUGAGCCCAGUGCACUGCACACAAGAGUCAAGAAGGGAGCUUCCUGAGCAAGAAGUAGCCCCUCCGUCUGGUCAGCAAGCUUUACAAUGCAACAGGAACAAAGAAAAAGUCUUAGAGAGACAAGGUCUUUCCCUGUCACCCAGGCUGGAGCGCGGUGGUACAUUCAUGGGUCAUGGCAGCCUUAAACUCCCUGAGCUCGUGAUCCUGUCUCUUCAGACUCUAGAGUAGCUGGGGCUACAGGCGUACACCACCACACAUGGCUAAUUUUUUAUUUUUCUUUUGUUGUAGAGAUGGGCUGUCAUUCUCUUGCCCAGGCUGGUCUUGGUAUACUGUCCUGUAGCAGUAUAUUUUGGCUACCUGUACUGGCAUUGGCUUUUCCAAGUGUCAAGAUUACAGGUGUGAGCUAGUAUACCCUGCCCAGUGUUUCUUUCUUACUUGGCUUUGGUGUGAAUGAGAAAAGAAUUUAGUACUAAAAUUUUAUGUGCAUACAGAAGCAUUAUUUGAAGUCAGCCUGUUUUCCCUCAACCUCUAGUACUCUGUAAAGUAUACCAAAAGUCAAGGUUUUAAAGAACUGUGUUACAUAUUAGAGAGAACAAAUCAAAAGUUACCUAUCUCCAUCGUUACCAGUAGAACAUUAGUAUGUAUUUUGAAGCACCAUUUGACUCUUUCUAUUUCAGCUACUUGCUUGUCCCUUGCAAAGUUAUUAUAGUACUCUUUUAAAACUUUUCUUCAAGGGAAGAGCUAUUUUGACUUCCUUUUCUUUGAUCUAAACCUAACACCCAGAAUAUGCUUAGCAGAUCAUCCCAAAACAAUCAUAACUUGUUUAAAUUGUUCAUAGCAAAAGUUACAUAUUAUAAAGAGUUAUGAGUGUCUUAGGCAGUGAAUAGUAACUGAAUAUCCUUUUAUAGUUGUCCUUCACUAGCAGGAAGCCUUAUUCCCUGCCCUUUUACAUAUCUUAACUUAGAAUGUUACUGUCUAAAUAGUGGUUAGGCAAGAGUAGUUCUUAAACGUGCAGUAAUUAUCUUGCACUACAUUUAAGGGCUAAAUAGCUAGUAGUGGUGCUUGAUAAUUGAAGAAAUUUGUACAGCUGGAGGAAGUACCUGCUAAAUUUUCAAAAGUUACCUGAAUUUAAUAGGUAAAUCUGUUUUUAAUUAGAGCUAUAUCAUUUUACUCUGAAUGUCUUAACAUAGAAGUUUACAUAAAAUUUACAGAUUGGAUUGAUUUCAGCCUUCUUCUGGUACUUUUUAAAAUCUUAUUAAUCAUUAGGAAAAGAAGUUUUAUUAUUGAUGCAAGCCCUAAACACUCUUUCGACUCCAGAGGAGAAGCUGGCAGCUCUCUGUAAGAAAUAUGCUGAUCUUGUGAGUAUUUAUUUAAUGGAGCAAGGAACACAGAAAAUAAAAUCUAUGUGUGCUUGAUAAGAUUUUUAAAUAUUAUUUUGAUGUAACUUUAAAUGUAAAAUGAUAUUUUAUCUCAAAAUUGAAAACAAUCUCCUUUCUUUAGUACUUAUGAUUGGUGUGUGUGACUUCAUCUUAUGAAAUGAUGUAUAGAACAUAAUAAUACUUUUUUAAAUGUGAAAUAAAUUUCCUAAAACUUAA
ensembl:lncRNA TXLNGY taxilin gamma Y-linked (pseudogene)